UGAUGGUCGAAACUAAUAUAUUUUAUGAAGGUCGGAAACCUUUGCUUCUUCGGCUUUCUCUGUGGGCCGGGCCUACGAGUGUAUUAUGAGUUUCAUUUUUAAAUGAGGCUCAUCACGUUAUAUGAAAAAAAUCACAAUUAUAGUUUUUCCAUAUUGUAAAUUGUCUUCGUUUACAUGAGUUAGGGUUUUUUUCAUCAUUGUCUUAGACAAGUCUGAGUUACAAAGUUACGAUGUGUGUCUACUCGUGAUCUAUUUAGAUAAUACUCUAUAAUAUAAUGAGGCAGUUGCCUCAUUCCUAAGCUGCCUCGUCAGCAGGUAAGUGGGUCCCACUUUUAAAAAGUGUGAAAAAAAUGUCAAGCCUGUGGCUCGAACCGGGGCUAUUGAGAUAUAAAUACCAAUAUUUAUACCACUAAACUAAAGGAUACUUUGUAUAUUGAUGGCCGAAACUAAUAUAUAUUUAUGAAGGUCGGAAACCUUUGCUUCUUCGGUUUUCUCUGUGGGUCAGGCCUACGAGUGUAUUAUGAGUUUCAUUUUUAAAUGAGGUUCAUCACGUUAUAUGAAAAAAACAACAAUUAUAGUUUUUCUAUAUUGUAAACUGUCUUCGUUUACAUGAGUUAGGGUUUUUUUCAUCAUUGUCUUAGACAAGUCUGAGUUACAA
rnacentral:lncRNA from 1 species